AGAGCUUGCUCUCGGGUGACGAGCGGCGGACGGGUGAGUAAUGUCUGGAAAACUGCCUGAUGGAGGGGGAUAACUACUGGAAACGGUAGCUAAUACCGCAUAAUGUCGCAAGACCAAAGGGGGGGACCUUCGGGCCUCAUGCCAUCAAAUGUGCCCAGAUGGGAUUAGCUAGUAGGGGGGGUAACGGCUCACCUAGGCAACAAUCCCUAGCUGGUCUGAGAGGAUGACCAGCCACACUGGAACUGAAACACGGUCCAAACUCCUACGGGAGGCAGCAGUGGGGAAUAUUGCACAAUGGGCGCAAGCCUGAUGCACCCAUGCCGCGUGUGUGAAAAAGGCCUUCGGGUUGUAAAGCACUUUCAGCGGGAAGGAAGGCGGUGAGGUUAAUAACCUCAUCGAUUGACGUUACCCGCAAAAAAAGCACCGGCUAACUCCGUG
rnacentral:rRNA from 1 species